rnacentral:piRNA from 1 species
AGUUGUAUUAGGCUGUUAGAGGAGGAAG